rnacentral:rRNA from 1 species
AUUGAACGCUGGCGGCAGGCCUAACACAUGCAAGUCGAGCGAUUUUGGCUUCGGUCAGAAGAGCGGCGAACGGGUGAGUAACACGUAGGAAUCUGCCUGGUAGUGGGGGACAACGUCUCGAAAGGGACGCUAAUACCGCAUACGCCCUACGGGGGAAAGCUGGGGACCUUCGGGCCUAGCGCUAUCAGAUGAGCCUGCGUCGGAUUAGCUAGUUGGUAGGGUAAAGGCCUACCAAGGCGACGAUCCGUAACUGGUCUGAGAGGAUGAUCAGUCACACCGGAACUGAGACACGGUCCGGACUCCUACGGGAGGCAGCAGUGGGGAAUAUUGGACAAUGGGGGCAACCCUGAUCCAGCCAUGCCGCGUGUGUGAAGAAGGCCUUCGGGUUGUAAAGCACUUUAGGUUGGGAGGAAGGUUCCAAGGCUAAUAUCCUUGGGAAUUGACGUUACCGACAGAAUAAGCACCGGCUAACUCCGUGCCAGCAGCCGCGGUAAUACGGAGGGUGCAAGCGUUAAUCGGAAUUACUGGGCGUAAAGCGCGCGUAGGCGGCUUGGUAAGUC